AAAACAUCUCAUUCAUUCUAUUAAAAUUGAAGCUUUUCAAAAUGACUAAAUUUUCAGUCAUGCCAAUUCUUGUCCUUUUUAUUAUUUUUUCAGUUGUAAACGUGACAUGUCAAGCAGGCCAAUUAUGUAACAUAAGCAAACCUAAUUGUAUCCCUUAUGAGUGUGAAGAUUGGUGUUCUGAACCUUCUCAUUCAGGUUUCGGAAGAUGUGGAGGAGGCCCUGCAAACAUAUGUUUUUGCACAUAUCCAUGUUAAGUCUAUAAAAAACUUAGCACAAUGCUCAAAAAUUAAAUGUUAAAUGUAAGAGCAUAUCAAAAUAAAUCUAAUAAAAUUAUGCAUUUGUUAUGAAUAAA